rnacentral:sRNA from 1 species
UUUAAUUUGUACGCUUCCUAUAUAUGGACAUUAAGUAUCUUUACUUUUCUCAUUCCUUUGAAAAAAAAAUCUUUACAUAACGAUAUAAAUGCUUCUGUCGAGCAAUAUUUUAAAGGAAUAACACAGGGUUCGUUAUAAGCAGGUUCCCAUUUAUCUGUAUCCAUUGUAAUCAUGUUUUACUGUAAUUAUAGGAUUUGCCUUGCAUUGUGGUACAUCUAUUAUUACAAUAUCUAAUAUUUAAUGCUUUGGUCAAAAAUGUUGUAAACUCUGUGAAAAAAGGAUGCUUUUUAUAUAUACCAACAUUUGUAUAAAUUUUCUGUUAUUUUUUUUAUAACAAAGAGCUGACUUACCUUUCUAAUAGAUUUGAAUUUAAAACAAGUUACAUUUUUAAAAAAAGAUAAUUUGAAGGUAAUAAACUAAACCAAGAAAUACAUAUAUAACAGAUAAUUACCAAUUUUUAUUUGAUUUGUCAAUGAUUUUUUCACUAAGUUUUUUUCCCCAACGUUUUCAAAGCAUCAUUUAUUGAAAAUGAAGUAAAAGAUGUGAAUAACAAAUUUAUCUGGAUUGCUUCCCUUUUAUUUAGAGCUUAUUCAGUGUAUUUAAACAAUGCUUCUCAAUUUAGUCAAAUUAAUUUUUCUGUUAUCCAAUCUAAAACUUUCUCUGUUGGGCAUGUUUAAAAACAAACAAAAUUAAUACAUGUUUUUGGUGUCAGUUAAGACUGACUCUGUUUUUCUUAAACCAUUAAUGACUAUCUUUUGAAAAAAAAAUAUGCUUUAUUGUAAUAUGUUUUGUUACAUUCCUGUGUUAAUAAACUUAUUUUUGAACUU